AUGACUUUGAUCUGCGUCCUCAUCUGGACUCUCCUCUGCUUCACUCAGGGAUCUGAUGGACAAAAUAUUGUUGUGACUCAACCAGCAGCCAAAUCAGUGCAGCUUGGUCAGACUGUCACUAUUGACUGUAAGGCCAGUAGACAAGUAGCUCUCUGUCGUUCCCCAUCUGAUUACUGUCUGUCCUGGUACCAUCAGAAACCCGGAGAAACUCCUAAAGCUCUGAUCUACUACACAUCAGACAGAUUUUCAGGAAUCUCCUCCAGAUUCAGUGGAAGUGGAGCAGGAAAUGGAUUAGACUUCACUCUGACCAUCAGUGGAGUUCAGGCUGAAGAUGCUGGAGUUUAUUACUGUCUGAGUUAUCAUUACAUCAACAGUCACUGUUAAGAGGUCAGAGUUGAUCAGUGGCUGUCCAGGCCUUUCAGAGCC